GUGUCCCAGAGGCAAUGCUUUGCCUUCCCUACUCUAUGACCAAACUGCUGAAUUUUUUUCUCCUUCCUCCUGCUGCCUAAACUAGGGAGAUAAUUUGGCACUAUCUUUGACCUAUGCUUUGAGGUCAGCCCACCCAACUGAGCUGUUUUCAUCUUAGGCCAGGGCACUUACACAUAGUGGAACAGUGACUUUUAACAGCUCAGCUCUGAAAAUCUCUGAAGAUGAACAAAGACCCAAACCAGCAGUCAUACUGUAAGAUAGUAUCUCACUUUUUCUUGGUAGUACAUUAUCUGCAUAGUCACAAUCUCUUUAGUUCUUUGUUUUCAUCACUGUAGCUACAUCUGCAAAAAUGAUUUCUUGAUAGCAAACAUUAUUUUAAUCUUAGAUGAAAUUUGAUUAUGCAGAUGAUUUUGUAUUUGGCAGCACUGAGUUUCCUGUAUCCAUUUAUGGUAGCGAGAGCAGACAUGAUGGCUUUAAUAGACACAUGAAAAAGGAUGAGACUAUAAAUCAAGAUCUGUAUUCCUAAACAGACAUCUACAGCAAUAUUUUCUCCCUUUUGCCCAUUUAAACAAAGUUCCCUGCAGUAUUUCACAAUCUUUGUGCCCUGGAGGAAUCCUUAAGAUAAUUUUCUGGUCACUAAAACUGCUUCACCAAUAAGCUGUAGAUACUAUAAUCCAAUAAUUGUCAACACUCUCAAAUAGGGAAUAUUUUUUUCUGUGGAUUUGUUUAUUGUGACCAUCUUUUCUGCUUUUGUGCAGUUCCCCUUCUCCACAAAGGAUAUCAAUUCUAAUGCACAUCAGUAGAGUAUUGAGAGUGAGAUUUCAGGGAUAACAAAUGCUGUCUAGCACAGGCUGAAUCCCUUUUCCCUGAUCUGCCUUUUGACUAACUUGGAUAAUCUCUGACUUGUUUGAAUUAAGCUUCAAUUUAUUUACCCUCGUCCAAUCCAUUACAGUUAAAGGACACUGGUUUAACAUAGACACAGCUUCCUUGGUGUUGAAUUAAAGAAGAGAGUUGGCGUUGUCAGCAUACUUUGACACUUAAUUCCAAAACAUAGGAUGGCAUCUUCCAGGGGUUUUGUGUAGAGUCACCAAAUUAAAUCAUUUUCAAAGUACUGGAUAAAUUGGCCAAAUAGUCUCACCCAGUCUGAAGGCAUAUAUUUCUCUUUACAAGUAGAAGAAAAAGGUCUACUAUAAGACUAACUUUUCUUUUAAAAAACAAUUUUCCUGGAAUUAGUUGUUCUAAGUUUUGGUUUUGUGGAGUUAUAGCUGGAACUAGUAGGUUCCCAGUGAAAAGCUUUGACUUGCAUUUUUGUUUGGUGAACAUUUACAAAGGCUUAGAAUACACUCCACAGCAGGACAAAAAUUGAUCACAACACCAGACUUUAGGGGGGGAAAGGAUUAGCCUUUAAAGGAGGAUUUUAGCCAUAGUUACUCUGAUGAAGUUACCCUGUGGUUUUAUUUCUUUAAUUUAAUUUGGGGGUAUCUGAUAUAUUGUGCAGGAUAAGAUCAAAGUAUUCUGUUUUACCAUCAAAGAAAGCUAGGUGUUUGCAUCUUGUUCAGACUCCUAAAGGGCAUCUUUUAAGCAUUUCCUUCCAUUGUAUGAGCUCCGUUUUUGCACUUCUCUGUACAGGCUUAUUGUAUGCAAGCUUCGUCAAAAGUAAAUCCUUUUGAUUUUAAAGCUAGCAUUGGAUUGCAGUUCUGCGGCUCACAGUUACUCAGAGGUAAGCCUUCCUGUGCUCAGCGCGGCUUAUUCCCAUGUCAGUGCACAGUCAAACUUCAGUCAAAGAGAUGAUUAUAUAAAGUGAGGAAGAGAAAGAGUUCUUGUCUGAACAGUCCCAGCUGAAUGGGGGCAGAUGAAAGCAGAUGGGUAAAAACGGGGCAGAGACACCUAUUAGAGCAAGGCACCAAACUUCUGCCCUUGUUGGUGCUUCUAAGAAUAUUUCAUGGAGAGAGAGCUAUGUAAAGAUUGGACACAAUAUGCUAUGAUAGUAACCCUUUUCUGCAAAUAAAAUAAUUUAAAAGCACAGUACAAAGUCAUCCUCAAUUCUGUGUCAUAUAUGAGACCAGAGCUCCUAAUGACUUGCAGCCCUGCCAGGUUUGUGGAACUACACAUUAACAAGCCCCAAAGAAUUUUGAAAGAAAAUCAAUCUGUGCUUUAUAGAUUAUGGCGAAGCCUUUAGCUGUAUAGACCAUAAAAAACUGGAUUUUUCUUAAAUAAAUAUGCCACAACAAUUGAUUUUUCUGGUGCACAGGAGACUAUUGUUAGAACAAAAUACAGAGAAUUGGAAUAAUACCCAAUUGGCAAGAAGGUCAGAUAGGGCUGCCUCUUAUCAAUUUUUCUCUUUAACAUGCAUGCUGAAAUCUCUCAAUCAUUAAUCAGAAUGGAGACUUAAGUCAAGAAAUCAGAAGGCUAGGACUUAAAUGGAAAGGUACAUCUUUGAACACAGGGUUGUUUGUGUCAUCAUAUUUCCAAUUUCUAUGUAUGAUUCUGAAAGCUGGAUAGUGAACUUGAUAGGAAGAGUAUCAACUCAUUUGAGAUGUGAUGCUGGAUAUACCAUGGGCUCCUAAAAGAUAUGGAUAUACCAUGGACUCCUAAAAGGCAAAUAAGUGGAUACUAGAGUAAAUCAACUUUGAACACUCCCCUCAAGUCAAGAUUUAACUGAACUAUGGUUUGGCCAUAUCAUGAGAAGACAUCAUACACUAGAAAAGACGAUGUUUAGUAAAAAAAGAGGGCAGUAGGAAAAGAAAAAGACCACAUUCCAGAGGGAUAAAUUCAGUCAAGGAAGCGAUUACUGAGUUUCCAAGAGCUGAACAGGGCAAUUGAUGAUAGGAUGAUAUGGAGGUCUCUCAAUCAUGGGGUCACCAUUAGUCAAAAUCAAAAGCAUUUAACAACGACAACAAUAUUAAAAAGCAGGGCUCUCGUUUAAUGGGAUUGUAUUAGUGCACACGUGUCUGCACACCCAUGCCAACUAUAACCAUCUCCCAGUCUCUGUUAUACUAAAGAGGUUUUAAGCUUUCAACAUCUUGAUUUUUAUGGGUCUUUCUUUCCUGGGAGAUCUUCUCCAAGCAUAACCAAGCAAGUUCUUUAUUUCAGCCACUUACUGGAAGAGGGAGGGAGCUAAUGUUGUGCAAGGUUGCUAAGGAACACUUUGCCUGCUUCAAGAAAAGGGAAUCCAGCAACUCCAAACAGCCCUAGAAAUGCUCUUAGUGUCAACUUUGUACUCAGAAGCAGGGAGUUUCUGAAGUUAAUUGUGUGUGUUCAGCAAAGAUAAUGGAAUUUUAAUCAAAAUAAAUAACAGUGGUACCAACAAGCAUGAGUAACAAGCCUUUGGAGCCAAAAAAAAGCAAUGGACAAGACUGCGGAGCAGCCUCCAAACAGGACCAAAGAGACUGGGAUGGCAAGAAAUCUGGAACAACUUGAAAACAGACUGACUAUUCAUGAUUUCAGGAAAAUGCAAGGUCUUUUUAAGUCCCCAGGAUCAAAGAAGAUCAAGGGAAUGAUGGCUAAAGAAGAGUUCAUGGAUAAAAUGUCCACCAAUAUUAGGCAAGGCACAAAGGAAGAAUAUGGUGAACUAUUUAGUAAGAUAGAUUUGAAUCGAGAUGGAGCCAUUGAUUGGGAGAAACUGACCUCCUUUUUGCUGCUUGAACUGUAUGAGAGAGAUGAGCGAACCAAGCUAUCUGUCAUCCCCCAGUGGAAAGACCUCCAGCUUCUCCCACUGAUCCAUAAAGAUGUGAUUCAAAAUGUGCUGUUUUUGAAAAGCCAUGGCAGCUAUUUGACUGUGAGCAGGAGUGGAUUGCUUGGUCUCUGGGGAGAGAGUUUAAAAUUACAGAGAACACUUCAGAUCACUACAGAAGUUGUCAAACUGAAAGACCUCUGGGUGACCUCUCUGGUAGCACUACCAAAUGUUAACAAGGUAGCAGUUGCAUUCACAAGCAAGGAGAUUUAUUUUGCUGAGCUGAAUUCCAAACAAGGAUUCUCACGUCACUAUAAGCUUCAAGGACUCAAAGGAACUGUGAUAUGUAUGGACUACUGGUACAACCACCAUGAUGGAAAUGAUGCCAUUCUGACCAUGGGGGAUGUCUGUGGACAGGUUCAAGCAAUUGCCUUCAACACAGCCCAGAUUUCAUUGUUUGAGCGACCUUCCAGUUCCUCUGAAGAUGAAAAUGUGAUGAUGACUAUUAAUUGGAAGGAACUUGCAUCUGGAUAUCACAAAUGUUGCUGUACAUUAAGGCACAACUUCCAUGACAAAGAAUGGGUCAGACAAGUUGCAUACAGCUCCUCCUUAGAUGUAUUUAUUUCUAUUUCAACCAGUAGCACAAACACUUUGGUGCUAGCUUGGAGAGAAAAAUUAAGUCACCGUCUUACAAUGACAACUUUCCACAUAACCCAAGGAGUGAAUGCUUUUGAUUUCCAUCCCAGACUCAACUUGAUAGCAACUGCAGGAAUCAACUGCCGGGUUUGCCUUUGGAACCCUUAUGUCACGUCGAAACCCACUGGAUUCCUGGAGGGUCACUCAGACUGUGUGAUAGCUGUUCAGUUCAUUCUGGAACGCAAACUGCUCUUCAGUUUUGCCAAAGAUAAGGUGUUAAGAAUCUGGGACAUUCAGUACCAACUUUGUAUCCAAAGGAUUGCUGGUUCCUUCCCCAAAAGCAUAGACUUCCAUUCCGUGCUUUACUUUGAUGAAUCCCAUGGACGGCUUUUUAUCUCAUUGAACAACCAGCUGACAUUGUUGGAAAUGGAGCAGGAAUCCGGCAACAGGAGAGUCAAGAGUCACAGGAAACCGGUGACUUGCAUUCUUUACAACUCUGUGUUUAAGCAGGUAAUCAGCUCAGAUACAGCAUCUACUGUUAUCUUCUGGCUGAUUGAUACUGGGCAGAAAAUCAAAGAGUUUACUAGUUGUCAUGGAAAUGCUGAGAUCAACACUAUGGCACUUGAUGGGACUGAAACCAGGUUGUUCACUGGAGGAAUGGAUGGAAUUGUAAAGGUUUGGGAUUUCAAUGGACACUGUCAUCAUAAACUCAACGUGGGAAGAGAUCGAACUGUUGAAAUCUCUCAGAUUUUAGUGCUAAGCUGGACUAUACUAGUCUUAGGAGGUGACAGGUCAAUUACUGUCUUCUGGCUGAACAACUUGACUCAGUUUUGUGUUCAGUCUUCAGAAUGGAAAGGAGGAAUUCAACAUCAGGAAGACAUCUUAUGUGCAGCUUUUCUACCUCCACAGACUCUAGCUACAGGGAGUUCUGGAGGUGAAAUUGUGGUGUGGAAUAAUAGUACGGAAAAUGUCCGCAGUAAGCUCUGCCUGAAUCCUGGAAGAUCUCUGAAGGACAGUUCAGGUUCUCAGAUACAGCAGAAUGUAGCUCCUACUGACAGGCUGUCUUCUAGAAGACAUACACUAUCUUCUUCUGACCACAACAGUUCUGACACAGAAAAUAGCAAGGCAAUAACUAGGCUCUGCUUCUUGGAGACCAGGAAUAUUUCAACAACAGGAGGAGCAAACCUAGUAUCUUGUGGAGGUGCUGGUUGUGUCAGAUUUUGGAAUACACAGAGGAGGAGCCUACUGGCAGAGUUUGAAGCUCAUGGUGAAGUGGGGGCCAUUAUCAUGACGGUUGAAAAACAAAACCAGUAUCUCAUCACUGGGGAUCUGGUGGGAUGGGUAAAGAUAUGGGACAUAGAGGACUACUGCCUUACUCUGGGAGAAAAUGUGAUAACACAGCCGCCCCCUCUGAUAAGAUCAUUUCAGGCUCAUGACGAUGGCAUCACUAGCCUGGGGACCUGUAUACAGAACAACAGCCUGUUCAUCCUGUCAUCAUCAACAGACCACAGUAUUGUUCUUAGUGACAUUUCUGGCAUUCCAUUUGGAAUAUUUGGGCAGGAAGGUCAUUGGAGACUUGGAAAUUAUGUCCUGUCCUUCCCUGGUGGAGAAAACAAGUCCCAUACUGAGGAGGAGAAUGACAUUGAAAAGGACAGCCUUGUGUCCUUUGUUGAAGGCGAUCCACCCCCUCAUCCCAUGGAACAAGCUGUACCUGUUACAGAGGAUGAAAAUGACUACACAGACAUUAUAAAUGUAUGGGACAACACCAUUCUAGGUAAAAGUUACAAAGAGAAAAAAGCACAGAAAGGAAGAAAAGGUAUCCCGUUGAAAAGAAUUGCUGGGAUAAAGCCAACAGUUGUAUUUAGGUCAUUAAAGAUUGAACCCCUGAAGGAGCCGAUGGAUAUAAAUGAGCUCGAUUUUCUUGUGCACCCUGACAAAUACAUUGGGGAAAAGUCAGCUGAAAAGCGCUCAGAAGAUUUAAAGCUGCCUACCCUUUCAGCAACUCUGAAAGCCGCUUUUGAUGAAAAGAACCUAUUCCCCAAAGAAAUUCUGGAUCGGGGAAAAAAACUGCGGCAGCUCUGUGAGGAAAUGUCUAACAAAGACGGGGUAACAAAUGAGAGAAAGCAAAGGAAGUUGAAAAGAAAAUGAAGUGGUCCUGACUUCAAAAGCAAGCCAACUCUUUCACCUUCAAGCUGAAACCCUGACCCUUUGCCAUGCAACUGUUUUCCUGGCAGACUGAUUCAGGUGGAGGAGAAGCCUUAUUGGCUAGACGACCCUUCAACCUCUGCUCAGAACAUGGACCACCACUGAGUACUUGCUAUGAAAUUAAAAUAGAUAUCGAACACAUGUCUUCAGAUUCAGGCAAUUAAUAUGAAGGCCAAGCCAGAUCUACUUUAUACUGAUUUUUGUGAACCAAACAUAACUCCAGUAAAGUGUGACUUACUGACAGUACACUUGCUUUAUAUGUCCAAGGUCCUAGGCAAUUCCUAGGAUCUCCAACAUCUGAAAGUACACAUGUUUGUCACCUUUGCUGUAGACAAUAUAGAGCUAGCUAAGCCAGUUACCUGCAUGGAUAAAUUGAAGCUAGUUCCUAACACAUGCAGCUCUGCCCUGCCAUUGUAUCAUGGAGGAGAUUCAGUGUGAUGGAUCAAUCAUAUAUUCUGGUGGCUAAAAGGCUAAAAGCUUCUGAAGCAGCUGGCAUCACUUCAUUAGCACCAAUAACAGCAAAAAUGUAAGUGUCUUUUGUGGUGAUGGAAGCAUUAGGCUUUCCAUAUCAUGGCAAUACACAACUCCCUUCUCACACCCCAUUUGUGCACUUGCAUGCAUGUAUGGAUGUAUGCAAGCAUGCAUGUAUGCUUCCUGUCCUACUGAACAUUAUAGAUCCCCUGAUCAAAUGAGCUUCCAAGAAUCUUCGGGUCUUCUGGGAAAUAAUUUGAGAGCCCCUCCAUUAAAUAUUAAGAAGAACCAUCAUUUAUGUCUUCCCAAUAACAACAACAACAACAACAACAACAACAACAACAACAACUUUAUUUAUAUCCCACUCGUUCUCCCCGUAGGGACUCAAAGUGGCUCACAACAAUAUAAAAUCACAGAAUACAUAAUAAAACAGAUAGAUAUUUCAAGUUAAAUAAACAACCAACAACAGCCAAUUACAAAAAUUAAUCAGAUCAUAGUAGACAAGAAAGGCAUCAUACAUAAAUAAGAUACAAAAAAAAUGUUUGUUUCUAUGCAUAAACAGCUAGUGUUAAUGUGAGAUGACAAGAGGAACGGGCAGUACUACUUUUUAGAGCUGCAGAAUCUAUGUUUGCAUUGCAGAUCAAGAGAAAUGCAAAUAAACAUUUUAAGCUCAGUCCUGAAAAUACCCUUCGAGAUGGUAAAUAACAGAGAUGGGAGAAACCUCCCAACUUAUAGAUCACACCUUUUCAAAUUAAAGAAUGGAUUGUCAAGGUGUCAAAAUAGAUAAGAAAACUUAAAAUAAUGUCUCAAGACAGAGUGUCUGCUGGAAAACACUGAAAUAAUGAAUACAUUUAGACCCUAGGGAAUAGCAUAUUAUAAGUGUCAGAAUGUUAGCAGGACUUUAAUACAAACAGAAUAUACAGACAAAAGAAUAAAAUGAAUGUUAUGAUUGACUAGCAAAUAAGGAAUUAUUCUUGAAAUAAAGACAUCUGGGAGUCCUAAAUAAAAUAUUAUAAGAUUGCAUAAGCUUGUCUUAACUUUACAACAGAUAAAGAGAAAAUAAUUUGAAUAGGUUUUCUCUUGCAUUAUGAUUGGAUUUAUCCCAGUUACUACAAAAACAACAGCAGUAUUUUAAAUCAUCAUUUAAAAAAAUAUUAUCAAACCACCUCUCUAGGUUUUCACAAAAGGAGCUGGAUGGGCAGGAGCAAUUCAGAAGCAUUUCAGGACAAAGGGAUGGGUAGUGGUUGAAAACUUUGAAACUUCAGAAUUGGAAAUCUGUACCUUAUUAAAUUGAGAGACUUAAGUGAGGUCUAAACCUUUCCAUAAAUAAGUCUGUUUUAACAUAUCUUGCAAAUUUCUCUAGCUAUCUCUCUUACUUUUAUUACAGAUGUGGGGAUGUUUACUAAGGAAUAGCUUUCAAAGCCAUUGUUUACCUGAUUUGGAUGAGCAUCACUUUCUAAUAGGAGGCAUAAGACUUAUUUUUUACCAGUAUACAUCACAGAUAGAAAACCUCUGUCUUUCAGGUGAAGCCUUUGUGCCACUCCAGAGCCUGUACGCUGUCACCUCAGAUGGAAAGGCAUUUACAUUUAAUCUUGCCAAUGUCCUCUACCUUAAAGAAGGAUUCGCAGUGAAAGAACAGUAUCUCCAUAGCAACGAAGAAUUCUUUUAUAUGGCUUGUAAAGCUGGUGAAUUUCCAAGACACUAAAGCUUCCAUGGAGUCCAUAAGUACUUGGGUAGAAAACAAAACAGAUGGUCUUUUUUUUUUUUGAAAAAAAAAGAUUCUUAUUUUCUGCAGCUUCCUCACUUUUGUUUGCUUCACAAGUGCUUGUUGAUUAGCCAUCCUUCUUUUCAUCAAAUCUCAAAUCUUGGAGCUAAAGGAACAUGCACAGGAAUAGUUAAAUGCAAAAUAAUGGAACCUUCAAUGAACUGAGAACAAAUGAAAAAUGCUCAGGUUAAGGAACUGAUGACAAUAUCUUCUCCACUGAAACUCCCCUGGUAUCAUUCGAUCCUAUUUUGUUAGACUUUUAGAUGUGAACUAAGGAAAUGAGCCCAAAAUCUCAGACUCACCCUAAAUAUGGCUGUCUUCAAAAGGACAGCAGCUUCAGGUCAGUAUCACAGGGCUUUUCAGUUUAAACCAACUGAAAAACGUGAGUUUGCCAGAAACUCAAGAUCAUCCCAAGGUUUUGGGGCAGUUUGGACAGUGAGAUCAGUUCUGAUUCAGAUCAGUCUGCUGUCCAGUCUGCAUACCAACUGAUGAUGCCUAUGCUGCCAACAUUGCCAUCCCUAGCCAGCCACAGAUUUCCAUGUGAGCUCCCGACCAUUACGGCUACCUGUGCUCAUUUCAGAAUGGAGUGCCUGCACAACCAAUAAGAAGAGGGGUGAUCUCCACUUCUUGUUGGUCAUGCGAGCAUAAUGUUCUGACAUCCACAGAGCUGCAUGAACAAUCAGCAAAAAGGGGGAUUGUUCUCCUUUCUUCUUGCUGGCUGUGUGUGUACCCCAUUCUGACAUCAGCAGAAGCUCCCACGAUGGUCAGGAGCUUGGAUUGAGGUCCAUGGCCAUCUAGGAGUGGCAGUGGAGGCGAUAUGGAGGAAGUGACAGGACAGUGGAGUAAAUGUGACAAAGGCCCUGGGUUUGGCAUGAACAUGCUAAAUCUGAGGCUACUCUGAGACAGAUUUACUGUGGGUUAAAUGCACCCCAAGUGUGGUGCUGUUACUUUAUUUGUAGUAACAUAGCCACUCUAUGUAAGCUAUCUUUAAAUAUCUAUGGAGAUUUCAAACGUAAUAAGGAAUAGGUUUCUGUGGUUCCAGCUAAUAAGCCCCAGGUCAAUGGAUUGGAAUUACAAGAAAGGAGAUAGUGGUUAAAUAUUACAAAGAAUUUCUUGAUGAUAAAAGUGUUUUACAAUGGAAUAGAUUACCUAGAAUUUGCCUUCAUGGGAGAGUUCAAACAGAAGUUAAAUUGCCACUUUUUAGGGGUACUUCCAGUUCUAUUAUUCUUUGUUUAAUUGAAUCACUCCAGUCCACUUUCUAAAAUGAACUACAGUAAAGUCUCACUUAUCCAACAUCCGCUUAUCCAACGUUCUGGAUUAUCCAACACAUUUUUGUAGUCAAUGUUUUCAAUACAUCAUGAUAUUUUGGUGCUAAAUUCUUAAAUGCAGUAAUUACUACAUAGCAUUACUGUGUAUUGAACUACUUUUUCUGUCAAAUGUGUUGUAUAACAUGAUGUUUUGGUGCUUAAUUUGUAAAAUCAUAACCAAAUUUGAUGUUUAAUAGGCUCUUCCUUAAUCCCUCCUUAUUAUCCAACAUAUUCGCUUAUCCAACAUUCUGCCGGCCUGUUUAUGUUGGAUAAGUGAGACUCUGCUGUAUAUGUAUGAGCCCCUCUCUGUCUCAGUAAGUCCCAUGAUGGUCCCAUGAAAUAGUGAGUCUUCCCCACACUGGGGUUAGAAUAAUAGAAUCAUAGAAUCAUAGAGUUGGAAGAGACCUCAUGGGCCAUUCAGUCCAACCCCCUGCCAAGAAGCAGGAAAAUCACACUCAAAGCACCCCUGACAGAUGGCCAUCCAGCCUCUGCUUAAAAGCCUCCAAAGAAGGACCCUCCACCACAUUCUGGGGCAGAGAGUUUCACUGCCAAACAGCUCUCACAGUGAGGAAGUUCUUCCUAAUGUUCAGGUGGAAUCUCCUUUCCUGUAGUUUGAAGCCAUUGUUCCACGUCCUAGUCUUCAAGGCAGCAGAAAAUAAGCGUGCUCCCUCCUCCCUAUGACUUCUUCUCACGUAUUUAUACAUGGCUAUCAUGUCUCCUCUCAGCCUUCUCUUCUGCAGGCUAAACAUGCCCAGCUCUUCAAGCAGCUCCUCAUAGGGCUUGUUAUCCAGAGCCUUAAUAAUUUUAGUUGCCCUCCUCUGGACACUUUUGAGCUUGUCAACAUUUCCCUUCAAUUGUGAUGCCCAGAAUUGGACACAGUAUUCCAGGUGUGGUCUGACCAAGGCAGAAUAGAGGGUAAGCAUGACUUCCCUAGAUCUAGACACUAUACUCCUAUUUAUGCAAGCCAAAAUCCCAUUGGCUUUUUUAGCUGCCGCAUCACAUUGUAGGCUCAUGUUUAACUUGUUGUCCACAAGGACUCCAAGAUCUUUUUCACACGUACUGCUGUUGAGCCAGGCAUCCCCCAUGCUGUAUCUUUGCAUUUCAUUUUUUUCUGCCUAAGUGGAGUAUCUUGCAUUUGUCCCUGUUGAACUUCAUUUUGUUAGUUUUGGCCCAUCUCUCUAAUCUGUUAAGAUCAUUUUGAAUUCUGCUCCUGUCUUCUGGAAUAUUGGCUAUCCCUCCCAAUUUGGUGUCAUCUGCAAACUUGAUGAUCAUGACUUCUAACUCUUUGUCCAAGUCAUUAAUAAAGAUGUUAAACAGAACCGGGCCCAGGACGGAACCCUGCACAACUCCACUCAUGACUUCUUUCCAAGAUGAAGAUGACACAUUGGUGAGCACCCUUUGGGUUCAUUUGCUUAGCCAAUUACAGAUCCACCAAACCGUAGUUUUGCCUAGCCCACAUUGGACUAGUUUCCUUGCCAGAAGGUCAUGGGGGACCUUUAGAGAUGAGAAAUGUGGCCUGCAGAAAGUGUUAGAAGCCAGUUUCAAUUUUAAAUUUCUCACAGUGCCACACUAUGACUUUGCUCUGUACUGCUCUGGAUAAAUUAACAUAGAAUAUGGCUUUUGUUUGCUACCUCCAAAAAUCCACAGGUGAGGAAGAUUCAGUAGCAGCAAGGCUCUGCAAGGAUAUUUGAGCUGCAGUAAUAAUGAAACUGAGAAAUAAUGCCCCUAAUCUCAGACUUGAAUCUGGAGAAGCCUGACCAAAUUUUCAAAAAUGUGUCAAUUUCACCUUACAUCCUAGACAUCCUGCAGGAGUGAAGUUUGGGCUUGUCAGUGUGUGCAACCACCAUCUGGCUAUUAUCUCAUCAUUUAAUGGACUACUCCCAAUUCUAUGCCCACAUGGCCUUUUGAAGAAAGAUAAAAGGUUCUUUUUAUAGCAUAGCAACAGUAGAAGUGGUAGGAAUUGCCAGUAUAGGUGGAAAGGAUGGACUUUUUCCCUUCUAGAAGGCUGUUUUCCACUUUACACGGGACAAGAUAAUGAGCAAUCGUUCAGUGACAGAACUGGUACUUGGACAGCAUUAGCCAAACUGAAAAUGGCAUUUUUGUUAUUGCCUGGAAGCACCUGAGGAAAGCUACACCUAUUGAUUUUGUGUCUCCUGCAUACGUGUUAAAGGCUCAAGGCUUCUGUCCAUUUAAACAAUUUUUGACAGUCCUUGAGGCUCUUUGCCAUCACUCCUUCUGCAAGCAACAUUGAAGAAACUUGUGUGUCGCCGCCACCUUUGCACUCCUCGAAUAAAAUUAGUUGCAGACAGGCAUAAAGAAGGCAAACAUUUAACUGGUCAAAAAUAAAGGUUAUAUUUCUUACA